rnacentral:rRNA from 1 species
GACGAACGCUGGCGGCGUGCUUAACACAUGCAAGUCGAACGGAAAGGCCCUGCUUUUGUGUGGUGCUCGAGUGGCGAACGGGUGAGUAACACGUGAGUAACCUGCCCUUGACUUUGGGAUAACUUCAGGAAACUGGGGCUAAUACCGGAUAGGAGCUCCUGCUGCAUGGUGGUGUUUGGAAAGUUUCGGCGGUUGGGGAUGGACUCGCGGGUUAUCAGCUUGUUGGUGGGGUAGUGGCUUACCAAGGCUUUGACGGAUAGCCGGCCUGAGAGAGGGGACAGGCACAAUGGGACUAAGAUACGGAGCAGACUCGUACGGGAGGCAGCAGUGGGGAAUAUUGCACAAUGGGGGGAAGCCUGAUGCAGCGGCGCCGCGUGCGGGAUGACGGCCUACGGGUUGUGAACCGCUUUCGCCUGAGACGAAGCGUGAGUGACGGUAAUGGGUAAAGAAGCACCGGCUAACUACGUG